GACGAACGCUAGCUACAGGCUUAACAACAUGCAAGUCGAGCGAGAAGCUUAUGACUGAUACUUCGGUUGAGAGAUUAAGUGGAAAAGCGGCGGACGGGUGAGUAACGCGUAGGCAACCUGCCCUUUGCAGAGGGAUAGCCUCGGGAAACCGGGAUUAAAACCUCAUGACACUGUGUAUCCGCAUGGAUAGACGGUCAAAGAUUUAUCGGCAAAGGAUGGGCCUGCGUCUGAUUAGUUAGUUGGUGGGGUAACGGCCUACCAAGGCGACGAUCAGUAGCCGACCUGAGAGGGUGAACGGCCACCAUUGGAACUGAGACACGGUCCAAACUCCUACGGGAGGCAGCAGUGGGGAAUAUUGCACAAUGGGGGAAACCCUGAUGCAGCAACGCCGCGUGAGCGAAGAAGGCCUUUGGGUCGUAAAGCUC
rnacentral:rRNA from 1 species